UAUAUUUUGGUGUAUGGAGCACAGAAAUUUUUGAUAUUUCAGGGGACAGUUUAAUUCUGUUAAAUAUAA
rnacentral:tRNA from 1 species